CCUACGGGAGGCAGCAGUGAGGAAUAUUGGUCAAUGGACGAAAGUCUGAACCAGCGACGUAGCGUGAAUGAUGACUGCCCUAUGGAUUGUAAACUUCUUUUAUAUGGGAAUAAAAUGUUCCACGUGUGGGAUUUUGUAUGUACCAUAUGAAUAAGGAUCGGCUAACGCCGUGCCAGCAGCCGCGGUAAUACGGAGGAUCCGAGCGUUAUCCGGAUUUAUUGGGUUUAAAGGGAGCGUAGGUGGAUUGUUAAGUCAGUUGUGAAAGUUUGCGGCUCAACCGUAAAAUUGCAGUGGAAACUGGCAGUCUAGAGUACAGUAGAGGUAGGUGGAAUUCGUGGUGUAGCGGUGAAAUGCUUAGAUAUAACGAAGAACUCCGAUUGCGAAGGCAGUUCACUGGACUGCAACUGACACUGAGGCUCGAAAGUGUGGGUAUCAAACAGGAUUAGAUACCCGGGUAGUC
rnacentral:rRNA from 1 species